AUUUAACUUUAUUUUACAUUUUGUUUUCAUUCUAGAAUCCAGGCUGACUGAUAAGCCCCUUACAUAGACACACUGUCCUUGAGAAAAAGCGAAAAGAAAAGAUGAAAAGCCUAGCAGUGACAUCUAAAGCUUCUGCAGUAAACUUAACUUCAUAUUUUACUGGAAUACUUGACACCUGUAGGGAGGAACACUGCAAAUCACAUGGCACAGGAUAUAGAAUUGCUGGAGUAGGUUGCUGAAAUGGGCGGUAUAUAUACACCCUUGGACCCUUGCCCUGAGAGGAGAGGAAUGACAGCCAAGAACUCAGGCUGCUGAAGUGGCUUACUUUCCUGGCUCCCUAUGAUGCUUCCUGGGCAAGAACCACUAGAGACAGAAGCUGACACUCAGGAAGCAGCAAUGGGAAUAUUUUGACUAGGUCGUGAGAUGUGUCCAGGAGGGGAGAAGGAAACCUUUCAUGUAUAUAGGUAACUGGGUAGCUCAGAAGACAGUUCGAAACGCAGUUACAGAUGCCCUGAAAGUCAGAAGAGUGGGAUAC
rnacentral:lncRNA from 1 species